GGGGAAAAAAUGUACAUUGAUACUUGGGAAUUGAUGUACUAAUAUUGUGAUCACCUGUUUCUGAAGUGUGUGAGUAUUGCAUAUGAAUGUUGAGUCUGUAGAUGUUGUUUUAAACAUUGAUAAUUCCAGUUCAGGACUGUAUCACUUUAUAACACUGGAUGUUGACCUUGACAAUACAGAGAAGCUGCAUGCUAAAACCUAUUAUGCAACCCCGAC
rnacentral:lncRNA from 1 species